rnacentral:ncRNA from 1 species
AAGGCUUUUGCAGUAAUUUCCAAAUCAUGAUGCCUGUCUCCCGGCACCUCUGUUUGGAACUAACCCUUUGGAAGAGAUGUAUUUAUUAGAUAAAAAAUCAAUGUCUUCGGACUCUUUGAUGAUUCAUAAUAACUUUUCGAAUCGCAUGGCCUUGUGCUGGCGAUGGUUCAUUCAAAUUUCUGCCCUAUCAACUUUCGAUGGUAGGAUAGUGGCCUACCAUGGUUUCAACGGGUAACGGGGAAUAAGGGUUCGAUUCCGGAG